UCGCCAGGGAACUACAAGCUCAAACUUAAAACCCAAAGGACUUGACGGUGUCCCACUCCCCCUAGAGGAGCCUGUGCUAUAAUCGACAACACCCGCUAAACCCGACUGCUUUUCGACCAUCAGCUUGUAUACUUCCGUCGUAAGCUCACCGUGUUGAAAGACAUAAAGUGAGCCAAAAGGCCCUACCACCAACACGUCAGGUCAAGGUGCAGCCAACAAAGCAGAAAGUAAUGGGCUACAAUUUCUAUGAUAGAACCCACGAAAAGCCAUAUGAAAUAUGGCC
rnacentral:rRNA from 1 species